AGGUGGCAGACUGGAUUUGGCCUAUGGGUCAUAGUUUGCCCACUCUUGAUCUAAUCUAUAAACCAUGAUUUAUGAGAUUGUCUACUCUGGCUGUGAAGAACAGACACUAUUACUGGCUCUGGAAACACCACCUGGAACACAGCUGUGACUUGAUAAACAAGUGAAACAUUCUUUGGUGUGGUGAGGGGAAAACAAAUUUCUCAAAGGACACGCACCAUGGUGUAUGAGAGGACACUGGAGCCCAGCCAGCAUCUGACAUGCUGAAUUCAAAGUGCAGGUGAAAGUAGGACAACUGAUUCACAAGCUGGGAUGCCUGUGUUGUUGUUUGCCAGUGUGCGUGUGUGUGUUUUCCUGGCACCCUUCAUUCAUUCCCCAGCACAGUUGACAUCAGGUUGGAAGCAGUGAGUUCUGAGGGAGACUGCUAGAGGACCCAACUUGGAGAAUCAACGAUCUGCGAUGAAGAUAAUGAAGAUAAAGACAAUGUCAAUGUCAGCGUCCAAAAUCAUAAGGACCCUUUAAGAAGCUUCCAGAGCAGAAGUGACUGUGCAAGAAGGGCCAAUAAAGUCUAGGCAAUGCACGACCAGGCGCGGUCGCUCACGCCUGUAAUCCCAGCACUUUGGGAGGCCGAGGUGGUUGGAUUACCUGAGGUUAGGAGUUUGAGACCAGCCUGACCAACAUAGUUUCACCCCAUCUCUACUAAAAAAAAAAAAAAAAACAAAACAAAAGUUAGCCAGGUGUGGUGCUGCACACCUGUAAUCCCAGCUACUCUGGAAGCUGAGGCAGGAGAAUCGCUUGAACCCAGGAGGCGGAGGUGGCAGUGAGCUGAGAUUGCACCGCUGCACUCCAGCCUGGGCGACAGAGUGAGACUCUGUCUCAAAAAUAAAUAAAUAAAUAAAUAAUAAAGUCUAGGCAAUGCAGCAGACUGCAGACAAA
rnacentral:lncRNA from 1 species